rnacentral:rRNA from 1 species
GACGUAGGGCGCGAGCGUUGUCCGGAUUUAUUGGGCGUAAAGAGCUCGUAGGCGGCUUGUCGCGUCGACUGUGAAAACUUGGGGCUCAACCCCAAGCCUGCGGUCGAUACGGGCAGGCUCGAGUUCGGUAGGGGAGACUGGAAUUCCUGGUGUAGCGGUGAAAUGCGCAGAUAUCAGGAGGAACACCGGUGGCGAAGGCGGCUCUCUGGGCAACAACUGACGCUGAGGAGCGAAAGCGUGGGGAGCGAACAGG